CUAGACGCCGAGGGUGGGGUCAUGGCGCCCCGAACCCUCCUCCUGCUGCUCUCGGGGUCCCUGGCCCUGGCCCAGACCCGGGCGGGCUCCCACCCGGUAUUUCCAGAGCGGCGUGUCCGGCCCGGCCGCGGGGAGCCCCUCUUCAUCGAAGUCGGCCACGGGGACCACACGCAGUUCGUGCGGAUUGCGAGGACGGAGCCGCGGGCGCGGUGCGUGGAGCAGGAGGGGCCGGAGGACCGGGACCGCCACGCGCGGAACUCCAAGGCCUCCGCACAGACUCAGCGGGCGAGCUGCAGAACCAGAGCGGGGCAGGGUCUCACACCUGCCAGAGGGUGUGCAGCUGCCACCCGGGGCCACACGGGCGCCUCCUCCGCGGUGUAACCCGUUCGCCUACGACGGCCACGGUUACCUCGCCCUGGACGAGGACCUGCGCUCCUGGACCGCCGCGGACAUCGCCCAGCGCAAGCGGGAGGCGGCCAAUGAGGCGGAGAAAGGAGAGGCUACCUGGAGGGCAGGUGCGUGGAGUGGCUCCGCAGGUACCUGGACGACGGGAAGGAGACGCGGCAGCGCGCGGAGCCCCCCAAGACACAAGUGACCCACCACCCCAUCUCUGACCACGAGGCCACCCUGAGGCGCUGGGCCCUUGGCUUCUACCCUGCGGAGAUCACACUGACCUGGCAGCGGGAUGGGGAGGACCGGACCCAGGACAUGGAGCUCGUGGAGACCCGGCCGGCAGGGGACAGAACCUUCCAGAAGUGGGCUGCUGUGGUGGUGCCUUAGGGAGAGGAGCAGAGAUCCACGUGCCUAUAUGCAGAAAAUGAGGGGCUGCCAGAGACCCUCACCCUGAGAUGGGAGCCGUCUUCCCAGCCCACCAUCCUCAUCCUGGGCAUCGCUGCUGGCCUGGUUGUCCUUGGAGCUGUAGUCUCUGGAGCUGUGGUCGCUGCUCUGAUGUGGAGGAAUAAGAGUUCAGAUAAGAAGGGAGUAAGCUACUCUCAGGCUGCAGGCAGUGACAGAGCCCAGGGCUCUGAUGUGUCUCUCACGGCUUGUAAAGUGUGAGACAGCUGCCUUGUGUGGGACUGAGAGGCAAGAUUGGUCUAACACCUUCCGCUCGUGACUUCAAGAACCCUGACUUCUCUUACUGCAAAGGCAUCUGAAUGUGUCUGUAUCCCUACAGGCCUAGUGUGAGGAGGUGGGGAGACAGCCCAGCCCCUUGUCCACCAUGACCCCUUCCCCACGCUGACCUGCAUUCCUUCCCCGGUCACCUUUCCUGUUCUAGAGACGUGGGGCUGAGAUGUCUCCAUCUCUGUCUCAACUUUAUGGUGUACCGAGCUAUAACUUCUUAUUUUCCUAUUAACAUUAGAAUCUGAAUAUAAUUUACUUUUUCAAAAUAUUUCUAUGAGACAUUUAUGGGUUAAUUAAAAGAGAAAAUUCCUGAAAUUUGAGAGAAAAAAUAAAUGGAAGAUCUGAGAACCUUC